CAAGGAAUAGUUUAGCGUAAGAAUCCUAGCUUUGGGAGUUAGGGGCGGGAGUUGAAAUCUCCCUUCUUUGA
rnacentral:tRNA from 1 species